CAGUCGCCGCGGUAAUACGUAGGUCCCGAGCGUUGUCCGGAUUUAUUGGGCGUAAAGCGAGCGCAGGCGGUUAGAUAAGUCUGAAGUUAAAGGCUGUGGCUUAACCAUAGUACGCUUUGGAAACUGUUUAACUUGAGUGCAAGAGGGGAGAGUGGAAUUCCAUGCGUAGCGGUGAAAUGCGUAGAUAUAUGGAGGAACACCGGUGGCGAAAGCGGCUCUCUGGCUUGUAACUGACGCUGAGGCUCAAAAGCGUGGGGAGCAAACAGGAUUAGAUACCCCCGUAGUCCCUGUCUCUUAUACA
rnacentral:rRNA from 1 species